rnacentral:rRNA from 1 species
UCCAGACUCCUACGGGAGGCAGCAGUGGGGAAUAUUGCACAAUGGGGGAAACCCUGAUGCAGCGACGCCGCGUGAGUGAAGAAGUAAUUCGUUAUGUAAAGCUCUAUCAGCAGGGAAGAAAAUGACGGUACCUGAGUAAGAAGCCCCGGCUAACUACGUGCCAGCAGCCGCGGUAAUACGUAGGGGGCAAGCGUUAUCCGGAUUUACUGGGUGUAAAGGGAGCGUAGAUGGUUAUGUAAGUCUGGAGUGAAAGCCCGGGGCCCAACCCCGGGACUGCUUUGGAAACUGUGUAACUAGAGUACAGGAGGGGCAGGCGGAAUUCCUGGUGUAGCGGUGAAAUGCGUAGAUAUCAGGAGGAACACCGGCGGCGAAGGCGGCCUGCUGGACUGAAACUGACGUUGAGGCUCGAAAGCGUGGGGAGCAAACAGGAUUAGAUACCCUUGUAGA